GCAGACACAACAUAAGGUUGAAAUGGACAAGAGAGAUGGCAAGUUUGGUCCUCAACCAAUGGCAGUGCCACCGGUGCAGCACAUGUCACGGCUAGAUCAGCCUUACCCACCAACUGUUGGAUAUCCUCCUCCAGUGUAUGGGGCAGUUUACGGUCAACCACCUCCUCAGCAAGCUUAUGGUCAACCACCUCCUCAACAAGCUUAUGGUCAACCUCCUCCUCAACAAGGUUAUCCAGCUCCUGCCUAUCCACCUGCUGGUUAUCCUCCUCCUGGCUAUCAGAAGUGAUCUUUCGAAGGAUUUGGUGCGUCAUUCUAUUAUCAAAAGAAAGCUGGAAAU
rnacentral:lncRNA from 1 species